rnacentral:misc_RNA from 1 species
CAAACAAUGGCUAGAGCCACUCCUAUCUCCUCCUCCUUCCACCGUCUCAAAAAACUCUCUAAUUCUUCCCCUCCCUUACACGUCACCUUCCGCCGCCAUUUAAAUACUAGCUGCGCCACCACAAUGUCGGACGGCAAGGCUCCUCACCCAUCACUACAAGUCACAGGCGGAGCUCGACACAAGUUUUUAUCUGCUUUUAAAUCCCUUCAUAAUCCAUACAAUCCCUAUCCCAUCGUCUCUGGAAAUCGCCAUAUAGAAACUAUUUUUGCAGCUUUCUUUAGGGACGUUCCUGACCUUCGUCUCCGCCGAGAGUGUUUGCGGACUAAGGAUGAUGGUUCCAUCGCUCUCGAUUGGGUAUCCGGCGACGAUCGCAGCUUACCUCCCGACUCCCCGCUGCUCAUUUUGCUUCCAGG